rnacentral:rRNA from 1 species
CCUACGGGUGGCAGCAGUGAGGAAUAUUGGUCAAUGGCCGAGAGGCUGAACCAGCCAAGUCGCGUGAGGGAAGACGGCCCUACGGGUUGUAAACCUCUUUUGUCGGGGAGCAAAGAGAGUCACGUGUGAAUCAUUGAGAGUACCCGAACAAAAAGCAUCGGCUAACUCGGUGUGAGCAGCCGCGGUAAUACGGAGGAUGCGAGCGUUAUCCGGAUUUAUUGGGUUUAAAGGGUUCGCGGGGGGAGGUGCAAGUCAGCGGUAAAAUUGCGGGGCUCAACCUCGUACUGCCGUUGAAACUGCAUCCCUUGAGUGCGCGAGAAGUAUGCGGAAUGCGUGGUGUAGCGGUGAAAUGCAUAGAUAUCACGCAGAACUCCGAUUGCGAAGGCAGCAUACCGGCGCGCAACUGACGCUCAUGCACGAAAGCGUGGGUAUCGAACAGGAUUAGAUACCCCAGUAGUC